AUUGAACGCUGGCGGCAGGCUUAACACAUGCAAGUCGAGCGGGGUGAUGGUGCUUGCACUAUCACUUAGCGGCGGACGGGUGAGUAAUGCUUAGGAAUCUGCCUAUUAGUGGGGGACAACAUCUCGAAAGGGAUGCUAAUACCGCAUACGUCCUACGGGAGAAAGCAGGGGAUCACUUGUGACCUUGCGCUAAUAGAUGAGCCUAAGUCGGAUUAGCUAGUUGGUGGGGUAAAGGCCUACCAAGGCGACGAUCUGUAGCGGGUCUGAGAGGAUGAUCCGCCAAACUGGGACGGAGACACGGCCCAGACUCCUACGGGAGGCAGCAGGGGGGAAUAUUGGACAAUGGGGGGAACCCUGAUCCAGCCAUGCCGCGUGUGUGAAGAAGGCCUUAUGGUUGUAAAGCACUUUAAGCGAGGAGGAGGCUCUUUUGGUUAAUACCCAAGAUGAGUGGACGUUACUCGCAGAAUAAGCACCGGCUAACUCUGUGCCAGCCGCCGCGGUAA
rnacentral:rRNA from 1 species